rnacentral:rRNA from 1 species
UACGUAGGGUGCAAGCGUUAAUCGGAAUUACUGGGCGUAAAGCGUGCGCAGGCGGUGAUGUAAGACAGUUGUGAAAUCCCCGGGCUCAACCUGGGAACUGCAUCUGUGACUGCAUCGCUGGAGUACGGUAGAGGGGGAUGGAAUUCCGCGUGUAGCAGUGAAAUGCGUAGAUAUGCGGAGGAACACCGAUGGCGAAGGCAAUCCCCUGGACCUGUACUGACGCUCAUGCACGAAAGGCGUG